rnacentral:rRNA from 1 species
AGCAACGGAGCCGAAGCGAGAGCGAGUCUGAACAGGGCGUUUAGUUGCAUGCAGUGGGCCCGAAACCGGGUGACCUAUCCAUGGUCAGGUUGAAGUGGAGGUAAAACUCCAUGGAGGACCGAACCGACCCCCGUUGAAAAGGUGGCGGAUGAACUGUGGAUAGCGGAGAAAUUCCAAUCGAACUCGGAGAUAGCUGGUUCUCCCCGAAAUAGUUUUAGGACUAGCCUCAUGUUAGAUUCCCGGAGGUAAAGCACUGAAUGGCCUAGGGCCCGAGAGGGUACCGAAGCCUAUCAAACUAAGAAUGCCGGAGAAUUGAUGCAUGGGAGUCAGACUGUGUGAGAUAAGUCUCACAGUCAAGAGGGAAACAGCCCAGAUCUACAGCUAAGGUCCCAAAGCAGGUUUAAGUGGAAAAGGAUGUGAAGUUGCUAAGACAACCAGGAUGUUGGCUUAGAAGCAGCCACUCAUUCAAAGAGUGCGUAAUAGCUCACUGGUCGAGUGACUUUGCGCCGAAAAUUCAACGGGGCUAAAACCUGCACCGAAGCUUAGGCAAUGUUCUGUUGAACAAAGUUUGUAAGGUUGAAUCUGCCGCCGCGGAGCGGCGGUAAAUUGUCCGUUAAGGAUAGAAGCUGCCUUAUGGGCUUUGUUCAGCAGAACAUUGGGUAGGGGAGCGUUGUAUGCGCGGAGAAGCAUUAGCGUAAGCGGAUGUGGAGUUCAUACAAGUGAGAAUGCCGGAAUGAGUAGCGAGAAUUGUGUGAGAAUCACAAUGGCCGAAAGCCUAAGGUUUCUGGAGGAAGGUUCGUCCUCUCCAGGUCAGCCGGGAGCU